ACAUUUGGUUGUGUGUGUGGCAGGGUGGAGAUCAGGAUUUCUGGAGCUGCUUAGCUGAGAGGUUUUGGUUAAGGGUCUCCCAGGAGGUUGCCAUGAAGGUGCAGGCUGGGGUCACAGGCACUGGAAGGCAUGGCUGGAGCAAGCAGACCAUUUCCAAGUGGCUCACUCUCAUAGCUGCCAAGUUGGUGAUUGCUGUUUGUAGAUACAUCCAGUUCCUUCCACAUCAACCCUGCCAUAGGCUGCUUGAGUAGUCUCAUGACAUGGCAGCUGGCUCACCCCAGAAUAAGGAAAUGACUUACUGCAAAGAACCACUCUUCCCCACGAGACUUCGAGAAGACCCGCUGUCACGGACUGAGUUGUGUCCUCUUAAAAUUCAGAUGUUGGAGUCCAAACCCCCAGUAACUCAGAGUGUGAACGUAUUUGAAGAGGUCUUUAAAGAGGUGAUGAAGGGAGAGAGACCCCAUGAGCUCGUCAAGCUCCUUCUGUGACUGAUCAGAGAUCCCACCGUGAGUCCAGCUCCUGGUCCCAUGCUCUGGAUAUAUCGGUCCCUGGCAGCGUGCAGUCUUCUUUCCACCAAUGACCCCUCGCGCUGCUUCCAGAAGCCAAGAAAGUGGGCUUUGUCCUUGGGGAUUUAGGAGGCGGAGCGGCGCCCCCUUGAGGCCACAUGGUGGAGGCAGCGAUGAGACCUGGAGUCUAAAAUUCAGACUGAAUCACAGGAAGAAGCUAUUUACACAAGUCAAACAUGGUCCAAUCUUGGCAAUUUCAUAAGGUUCCAAUCCUUAAGGGAUCAAAACCUGGCCAACUGCUUCCACCGAGAGGUGUGCCUUUCAAUGCCAGGCUUGGAGUGUCCCUCUUUAUUUAAAAAGGAGAGGAUUCCACAGCAGAGCUUCUCAAACUCUUCCACCCAAAUCCCCUCACCACAGAGGGACAGGAGUCCUGGGCAUGUAGCCUAAAGCAGCCAGGAGAAAAAAACCUUGACCUUAAUUUUUUUAAUGAUUUCACAUGAAUCAGUGGAAUGUGUUUAUGAUAAAAUCAUCUCCUCCUGAAAUACAUGUGUAAAACUGCUGCCCCAGUUAAACGCACUUAGUCUAACCAAGCCCUAGGAUUGGCCUCUCCAGCAUGAGAAGCAUUUCCAGCACUCCAGCUCCCCAGCUCCCACUCUGGGAUCCCACCUCAGACCCUCCCACUUCCUUGCACUCUGGCCUCUCGCUCUUGACCCUGCUCCCGCCACGCUCUUUCCUCAGAGUCCAUCAGUCCUGUCUUGUCUUCACCUUGGUCUCUGCCAAGUGUGGGUCCAAGUCAUAUAUUUGGGCUGUGAUCACAGGAACCCCAAGCCCCAGACCUCCCAAAGCACCCUAUGGAGAGACCUUACCCUCCUGGACAGACCCUCUCCCCCCAGCUAGACCUCAUCCUCUGGGUAGACCCAUCUCCCCAACCAGAACUCACCCUCCUGAGUAAACCCCAUCCCCCUAGCUAGACUUCAUCCUCCUGGACAGAUCCCAUCCCCCCAGCUAGACCUCACCCUCUUGGGUAGAUGCAUCUCCCCAACCAGAACUCUCCUGGGUAGACCCCUUCUACCCAGCUAGACCUGAUCCUCUGGACAGACCCCAUCAUCCCAGCUAGACUUCUCCCUCCUGGACUGUCCCCAUCCCCCCUCCAGCCAGACCUCACCCCUCUGGGUAGACCCCAUCCCCCCAACUAGACCUCACCCUCCUGGAUGGACUCUACCCUCCUGGAGAUACCUUCCCCUCCUGGGUACAUCCCACGUGGCUACACACUCCUUCCCCUGUCAGCUUUCUCCCCCAGGGUUCUGGGCAGCAGAGUCUGUGAUAAAGGAUACUAAGUGAUUCCCCAAUACUUCCCGUUUCCAGCCUCCAGUGGGCUCUCCCUGGGGCUAACGGUUCUUUUUGCUAUUUCUCCAGGCUUUGCCUGAUGACAAGUAUACUCUGAGAGUGUCCUAAUGAUACAGAUUUUGGACCCUAUCCCAGUUCUACUGAAUCCAAGUCUCUGGGGGAGGAGUUGGGGCUCUGCAUCUGGACACCUUCCUGCAGGGUCCCUCCUGGGAGGCAAGCCCGGGGAGCACCGCUGAGGCUCGCCUCAGUGCCCAUCCUAGACCUUCAGCAGCUAGCAGAGGAUGUCCCCACCAUCCCUCAGCCCACACUCCCACUGUCGCCCCAGCCAGGCUUGGCACUGCCUCCUUUCUCAGAAGAUUAAGACCAUCUGCUGUUUCCCAAGUUUCCCACCCUCCACCCUAAAAAUUUCUCCGUUUCCCAGUCUUUCCUCGUCUCUCAGAAAAUAAACAUCUUCCCAGGCUGCCUCCCCAGUGGGUCUGCACUCCUUGCUGUCUUCCCAGCACCUGCCCUUCCAGCCCGCCCUCUGUGUGUCCAGUGUUUCCCUCACCAAAGGACUCGCUUUGUUUUUCAAAUUGGAGGUUUUGUCUUCUCCCUAAAAACCAAAACAUCUCCCUGAGAAGUAACUCCCUCAAGCUACUGAUACGGAAGGGGGGCGGGGAAGUGCUGGGAAGGGAAGGGUGUGGUCCCUGGCUAGGGCUCCACCCCCGGGCCUGUGCCCACAGACCUAGGUGAGGACAGGCAUUUCUGUUUUCGUGCUUAAAUGUUGGAUUUCCCAAGACUACCCUGGCCUACCACACCCUCAUUCUGUGCCUGUAAAAAAACCUGAGAGCUUAGCAGGCACGCACACAAGCCUCUGGACGUCAAGAGGAACACACCGGUGUAAGAGCAGACUGAUAGUGGCCCACGGCAGGCUGGCAGGCCAUCGACAGGCAGAACCACUCAGUGCAGCUGGAGGACAGCCUGGCCACGGAGCGGUCCGACUUCAGAGGGGAAAACCACCUCCCCACUCCGUCUCCCUUCUGGCUCCCCCAUCUGAGAGCUACUUCCACUCAAUAAAACCUUGCACUCAUUCUCCAAGCCCAUGUGUGAUCUGAUUCUUUUGGUGCACGGAGGCAAGAAACCUCAGGAUACAGAAAGCCUCUGUCCUUGGAAUAAGGCAGGAGGUCUAACAGCUGACUAGGGAUGGCUCAACUGAAACAGCAUCCUGUAACACAGGCCCAUUGGGACCUCAGGAGCUGUAAACAUUCACCCUUAGACAUUGCUGUGGGGUUGGAGCCCCACCACCUGCCCAUCUGCAUGCUCCCCCUACAGGUUUGAGCAGCGGGGCACAGAAGAAGCCAGCCACACCUCCAUCGCAAGCCCUGCCACGGGGAUAAGGGAACUUUUCCCGUUUUGCCACCAGCUCAAGCCCCGCCUUCCUGUCACUCCACACUCUUCAUCUCUGUGUAUGGGUGUGGUCUUCCUCAGUUCCUUCUCUGGCCUCACACAGUGCCCUGAAUAAUGCUUUGCAAGGCCUUUGCCAGGAGCCUAGGUGAAAGGCAG
rnacentral:lncRNA from 1 species